AAUGGAAUGUUCGGUAAGGGCAGUUUAGGCGUGUGUUUAUUUAUCACCAUUUGCAAACGAAUGCACUUUUAAAUGGGGCUGCUGAUUCAGCGGUUUACAGUAGUGUUUGAGCUCAUGAUGUGAAGCAAAUUGCCAAUGAAGUGGCAUAAUCUGAACCUUAAAUGGCACAGUCUGAAAAAGACAGCUGCUGCAAUUGCUGGAUCUAGUUGAGCUGUUCACACUCACUAACACUAAAUUUUUUUUCAAACUUCUGAAGAACAUCGGAAUGAGUAAGAAGCUGUAACAGAGUUUUAAACGCCUUGAGAACAGAAAGAGAUUUUCAUUAACCAAAUACAACUGUAUCAGUAAUGGAAUUUAUUCAUGUUAUUUCAUUGGUACAUUGGGCUUGUGUUUAUUGUGCCAUUGUGUACAAGCACUCCAGUCUCAUUCUCCAGCAAUGUGAAAGGCUGAUCUCAAUUACACUCACUUUUUGAGCUCUGCAAAUUCUGAGAAUUAGCUUAAAAUUAUUUUUAAAAUGUAUAUUGUUAUAUAUAGUUAUAUCAGUUGAGAAGGUAACAACUGCCCAAAAAGUGUUGGUACGUAACCAUUUGGAGACAAGCUAGAACAUUUCCCUGGUUAAUCAUGGUUGGCUUAUCACCAUCUGAGAAUCCUUCUUGCUCAUUGGGAUAUAUCUUUGUUGUGACCUUAUAUUCUUAAACAUCUGCUAUUGUUCCUGAACCAUCCAUUCUGCUGAACCCCUUUCCCAGUCCACUCUUGCUAACUCUAACCUAAUUUCUUUGUUUAUUACCCUUAUUUAAGUUUAGUACACUUGUUUCCAAUACAUGUUCCUUUCUCUCAGGAUGAUAACUAAAUGUUAUAAUAUUAUGGUCACUAUUUCCUAGAUCUUUUACUCUAAUGGCAUUUAUUAAAUCUGCUCAUUUGGCAUUACCAGAUCCAAGAUAGUCUAAUUCCUGGUUGGAUCCACAACACAUUGUUCUAGGAAUCUGUCCUGAAUACACACAAUGAAUUCAUCCUCAAGGCAACUUUUGUCAAUCUGACUUUCCAAAUCUGCAUGAAGAAUAAAGUAAUUCAUGAUUAAUGUACUGACAUUUUACAUACCCUCAGUAUCUUCUGAUUUAUUCUCUGCCUUACUGUAUAAUUACUGCUACAGGACCUGUAGACUACUGCUCCCAAUGUUUCCUUCUCUUGUUUUUCUUACCUCCAGCCAUAUGGAUUCUAUCUUCUGAUCCCAGUACUUUUCUUGUUAUGGUACUUCUAUCAACCCAUGCUAACAAGCUACCCCACCCUUUCCUUCCUGCCUGUCCCUUUAAAAACCCCUGAAUAUUUCGUUCCCAACUUUGAUUCAUUGUAACCAUGUAUUUUACUGUAAUGGCUAUGAGAUCAUAACCA